ensembl:lncRNA LNC-LBCS lncRNA bladder and prostate cancer suppressor, hnRNPK interacting
UUCUUCCUUUUGCCUCAUCAAGCACGGGGGACGCUGGAAGGAAGAGGCUCCAGGGACCUACCUGACUUCCUAUUCAUGCUGAUCCCACUGAGACCCUUAUCAACCCUGACCUGUUCCCCAUGUGCCUCUUGGAUCUGCCUUAUGUUCCAGGAACUAACGUUCACUACAGAGAACUUCAGGUUGCAUCAGGGAACAUAUAUACACAGCAGUCA